rnacentral:rRNA from 1 species
UACGGGGGGGGCAAGCGUUGUUCGGAAUUACUGGGCGGAAAGGGCUCGUAGGUGGCCAACUAAGUCAGACGUGAAAUCCCUCGGCUUAACCGGGGAACUGCGUCUGAUACUGGAUGGCUUGAGAUUGGGAGAGGGACGCGGAAUUCCAGGUGUAGCGGUGAAAUGCGUAGAUAUCAGGAGGAACACCGGUGGCGAAGGCGGGUCUCUGGGCAGUAACUGACGCUGAGGAGCGAAAGCGUGGGGAGCGAACAGG